rnacentral:rRNA from 1 species
AUGGACUCCGCCGCCGCAGUGACCAUGGACAUCAAGCAGGAGGAGCCCGAGAUGGUGGUGCUGGAUGACGACAACGACGGUGACGCGGGCUGCUGCCGGGCGCCGACGCCGCUGGACCUGGCGGCGGCCGCGGCGGUGGCGCCGUUCCUGGCCAAGACGUUCGACAUGGUGGAGGACCCGGCAACGGACGCGGUGGUGUCGUGGGGCGCGGCGCGGAACAGCUUCGUGGUCUGGGACCCCCACGCCUUCGCCGCCCGCCUCCUCCCGCGCCACUUCAAGCACGCCAACUUCUCCAGCUUCCUCCGGCAGCUCAACACCUACGGAUUCCGUAAGGUGAACCCGGACAGGUGGGAAUUUGCCAACACGGGCUUCCUCGGCGGGCAGCGCCACCUCCUGGCCGGCAUUCGACGCCGCCGCGGCGCCGACACCGCCCGCCGUCCCGCUGCGGCCUUGUCGCCGUCGUCGUGCGCGGAGGGCGCCGGCGGCUUCGGCCCCGUGGAGGGGGAGCUGGAGCAGCUGCGGCGGGACCGGGAGGCGCUGAAGCGGGAGCUGGCCGGGCUCAAGCGGCAGCAGGAGGAGGCGCGCGCGACACUGCUCGACAUGGAGCGCCGCGUGCAGGGCACGGAGCGGCGGCAGGAGCAGUGCAAGGCCUUCCUCGCGCGCGCCGUCAGGAACCCUGCAUUCCUGGCCAACCUGGCGCGCCGCAACGGCCUCACCGCGGCGGCUCCGGCCCCCGCUGUCGACGGCAAAAAGAAGCGGCGGCUGCUCGACGUCAUCCCGUCGCCGCCACCGGCGGAGGACGGGUUCACCUUCGAGGAGCUGGCACUCGCGGCCGGGGUCGUCGAGGAAGCAGCCGCGCCGACCCAGGGCGCGGGCGCGGGCGGCGUCACGACGGACAUGAUAUGGUACGAGCUGCUCGAGGAGGGGCAGGCGGAGAUAGACGUUGAUGUGGAGGACCUCGUGGCCGCCGCGGGGGACAUGGAGCCGUGGGGGUUCGGCGCGGAGGAGGUGCAGGACCUGAUGCAGCAGAUCGACUCCUUUGCCUGCUCGCCCAGUUGUUGA